GGUUGACAGAGCAAGGGCGCGGGGCAGUCCGGUCUCGCCUCACUAGGGAGGAACUCGGGCAAGGGCGCGCGGUCAGCGCCAGGUGGAUCCUGGGUUCCUCCCCGGGCUUGUCCCUAUUGAAAAAGUUGACAACUAGGGCAGAGGUCACGGGCGGAGGAAACUUGUCAACGCGGCUCCCGAGCGGAAUCUUCCCCGAACCCUGGUGCUGACCCUCUUCCCAAAGCCCAGAUGUUGUCCUAGACUUGCAACAGCCUUGUUGGAAAAUAGGCCCAGUGUCCUGCUUUUCUCCAUCCUGAAUCCCUUCAGAGUACACAGUCAGGGACGGCUGCAGUAGCUGAGAGCUUGAUGGCCACAGCAUCCUUUGUUUACUGAUACAGAGAACCAGCUGAACAAGCCAAAUUUUGGAGGGAUCACGUAAAGAGAAAGAUAAUGUUUCAUCUUCAUUUACAAAGGUAUACUUUAUCAACUUGUAGGUAAGUGUAAGAGGAAAGGUUUUUCAGUUCAGUGAUAUGAUCUGAAAGUUAUCAGGAAUUUUUAUUUGCCAAAAAGUCAUUUUUAUGAAUCUUGAAGAUCUUCAUUUUACAAAAGUAUCAGAGUGAAGCAAUGAUUGUCUAUACAUGACAAAAUACUUCAAAUGACAUGGCUAAAGAUCUGAUUACAAUGCAAUU